UACAGAGGUCUCAAGCGUUGUUCGGAUUCAUUGGGCGUAAAGGGUGCGUAGGCGGCGCGGUAAGUCGGGUGUGAAAUCUCGGGGCUUAACUCCGAAACUGCAUUCGAUACUGCCGUGAUUGAGGACUGGAGAGGAGACUGGAAUUUAACGGUGUAGCGGUGAAAAUGCGUAGAUAUCGUAAGGAAGACCAGUGGCGAAGGCGGGUCUC
rnacentral:rRNA from 1 species